rnacentral:lncRNA from 1 species
UGAUUUCCUCUUGGCCACCCGCAACUCCCUUGCUUGUUUGAGAUUAGGGUGAGAUUUUCACACCUAAAAGCCAGUUAGUGUAAAAUAAAAAGAGAUUGAAGGAAAAUAGGGAAAGAAAGAUGAAAAACGGAUAAUUUUUACCUUUUUCACUUCGGUCUCCACCAUCACAUAACAUCUCGGCCUGAUUCCUCUUCUUUUUUCUUCCUUUCGGCUUCGGCUUUACCAUUCU